UACGUAGGGGGCGAGCGUUAUCCGGAUUUACUGGGUGUAAAGGGAGCGUAGACGGCAUAGCAAGUCUGAAGUGAAAGCCCGCGGCUCAACCGCGGAACCGCUUUGGAAACUGUUAGGCUGGAGUGCUGGAGAGGCAAGCGGAAUUCCUAGUGUAGCGGUGAAAUGCGUAGAUAUUAGGAGGAACACCAGUGGCGAAGGCGGCUUGCUGGACAGUGACUGACGUUGAGGCUCGAAAGCGUGGGGAGCAAACAGG
rnacentral:rRNA from 1 species